UGUCUUUGGUGACCACAAGGUGAGUAGCUCUCCACACCUGUCCACCCACCAGAAUCUUAAAAGUUUACGUAGAGGUCAAGUUGGGUUCAAUCACGUGCUCCAUUCAGAUGGUCUCAACAACUCAAAGCUCACUCCGGGCUGUGUCUUUCAAAUCCUCUCCCCCGGAGGAGAGGAGGGAGUGAUCUCUGACGACCUGGCUGCAGCUCACUGAUGGACUUCCGGUCACAUCAACUCGAUGACCACCGCCAACACAUUCCUUCACCACACCUUUCUCCUUUCCCACAAAAUUUUCCCCUAAUUACUCCCAACAGCAGCAAGUCCAUAUUACCUCAAAACCUGCUAGUUUUGCAUCCAGCCUGCACACCAGGUUAUUCAACCUGGUUCCUUUCGGAGGAUGUUUUUGAACCACCUCCCAAGAGACUCAUUGUGCCAAACAAAUUAUAAAUCACUUACUUGAUAUUCUGUGGGAAAUAUAUCAUUUCAGGUUGGCCUUGUCAUCCCAUCCAGUAUAUCAUCCCACUCUGCAUUCUACAAUAAAUAACAUAUUUUUAAAAGAAAAAAAAUCACAGUCGUCUAUUCGUCAUUUGGAAUUCUUCACAUCAGUACUGGUUUCCAUUAUUUCCACUAAUUAAAUUGAUUUACAUUGUCAAUUUCUAAGUGAAUACUCAUGUAAACGGCAGUGUUAUUAAUAUUUUAAGGCAUCGUUUCCUCCUUUUUCAUCUAGUUCAAUAAUUUGACCAUAACUGGAGGCACAGAUCACGUCACUGUCCUGGUGCCGACAGCUUCCUGGAUGGACCGCACCAUCUACUGUCAGGAGCUUGGAGAGAAGUGAACAGAAUUCUCUACAGCAACACACCAAAGCAGGCUGAACCUGAGAAGCGCUGAAUUUGGAGACUAAAUCAUGUGCGUUCAGAGCCAAAGAAGGAGACCACUUUGGCUAGGACACUGGAGGUGAUUCCUCGAAGACUGGGGCUGGGUCACCCUAGUCCUUGCGACUAAAAGUAGUCUUUGAACAGCAACACGGACCUCACGUGGGAGCUUNNNNNNNNNNNNNNNNNNNNNNNNNNNNNNNNNNNNNNNNNNNNNNNNNNNNNNNNNNNNGACAAGACCGCCAGAUGAUUCCUGUGGGCGUUAAAUUUUGAGAACCACUGAUUUCACUCCUUUGGGAAUUGAUAGAGAUACAUGGGCAUAUUGCUCUUCACCCUGUCCACAGUGCCAACUGUCUCCCUGUUCACACUGUCCGCACCGUUUGCUGAGCCCAGGGUAGGCAAGGCAUGAGCGAAGAGGCCGGAAGAAGACCGGAGGAGCUGCAGACGCGUUUAUUGCCCUCCUGCUGACGCAGCCGCCAUACCAGUGUUCUCUCCUGGCUGACGCAGC
rnacentral:lncRNA from 1 species